rnacentral:rRNA from 1 species
AUUGAACGCUGGCGGCAGGCCUAACACAUGCAAGUCGAACGGUAACAGGAAGAAGCUUGCUUCUUUGCUGACGAGUGGCGGACGGGUGAGUAAUGUCUGGGAAACUGCCUGAUGGAGGGGGAUAACUACUGGAAACGGUAGCUAAUACCGCAUAACGUCGCAAGACCAAAGAGGGGGACCUUCGGGCUUCUUGCCAUCGGAUGUGCCCAGAUGGGAUUAGCUAGUAGGUGGGGUAACGGCUCACCUAGGCGACGAUCCCUAGCUGGUCUGAGAGGAUGACCAGCCACACUGGAACUGAGACACGGUCCAGACUCCUACGGGAGGCAGCAGUAGGGAAUAUUGCACAAUGGGCGCAAGCCUGAUGCAGCCAUGCCGCGUGUAUGAAGAAGGCCUUCGGGUUGUAAAGUACUUUCAGCGGGGAGGAAGGGAGUAAAGUUAAUACCUUUGCUCAUUGACGUUACCCGCAGAAGAAGCACCGGCUAACUCCGUG